rnacentral:lncRNA from 1 species
AGUAGUGAAGGUCGCUUGAAAACGAUCGCGUUGAAUGAAUUCUUGGCAUAAGUUUCAUGCAAUUCAUAGUAACAAAUGCUUCGUCAAUGCUUAUGUUUUUCAUAGAACGUAAUGAUUCUUGCUUGUAUCUCUAUUAUGCAAUUCAUGUAGGGAACUUGUAGGGAAUGUUUUGGGUUGUCGUAUGCAAUCAUCCAACUCAAUAACUCGUGGAAAAACUGAGGGUUAAUUAGUGCAAUUCACGGUUAAUUUGGGGCGUUGAGUAUUCAUAAUUUAUUGAAAGAACAACUGAAAAUUGUUUUGUUUGCAAGUGUGACAUGUGUGGAGAAGAACCUCCUAACUAGCCUUUUAUCCAUCCUUUUCAUCCAAAAACGUUUUACAAUCUGUUUAGUUUUAAGUUUCUGUUUUGUUUUCAAUUUUCGUCCAAACAAAUCCCCCUUUAUUUUGAAGUCUUAGAUUAGUUAGAAAGUGUUUUGAUUCAAGUUUUCACUCAAAUUCGUCCAAGUUCUUGUUAGGUUCUCAAAACUGCCCAGAAAGUGGUUUUUAGGCAGUUUUGAGUCAUUAGGUUGCUGUUUUGAGUUUUGUGUUUGUUCAAGUGUUUUAAACUUUAGUUUUGCAUUCUUUGAGUCUAGUUUAGUGUUUUAAACUUUGUUUUUAUGUUUUUAAGUCAGUUUUCAAGUGUUUAGCAAUCCCUCCUAAUCCCCGGUCUAGAACGAUCCCUACUUACAUCUUUACUACAAUUUGACAAAAAGAGGGUUUAAUUUGUGUGCUUAUCUAUUUCGCAUCAAUUUACAAUCUUUGCAUUGGAGAAUUCACUUUGUUCUUGAAUUUGUGCCAUGAUCUCCAUAAUCUGCCCAACUUGUUUCUCUAAUUCAUCCAUCUUGUUGGCUUGAUUUUUCAUCCCCUUGGUUUGGUUUUCUACUUCCUGUGUCAAAAAGGUGAGUAAUUGAACAAUUUGGUCAUUAUCCAUCGACGUACCUGAAUUUGUUUGGGAAGAUUGUGGUGGAGGCUGUGAUGGUGCAUAUUGCCAUUGAUAGAACUCCUUAGAUAGCUGUGAAUAUUCAUCUUGUUGUGAGCCCUGCGUCAAAGAGGUUAGUACAUCAAGAAUUUCAUCAUAACUCAUAGGCAUACUUGAAUUCGAUUGGAAUUGUCGUGGGGGGACGGUGGUGGCUGCAUAGGCGUGGUGUAAAACUCCUCAUAUGGCUGUGAUAGAAGCAUAUUUAUGCGACUGAGUUAACUUGUUCUCAUGCAUUUAUGUUGUUAUUUCUUAGUUAAUUAUGUAUUUUAAGCUAUUUUCGUGUGUUUGUAGGUCCAAAGGGUUAAUGUGGCAAAGAAGUGCAUUUUGGAGCAUUUUUGGGCAUGGAAUGGAUAGCUUAUGCUUGAAGCAAAAGGAAUGGAUGAAAUUUGAAGUUUUUGCAUCAUCCUCUCCCUAUAAAUAACCAUUUUAGCACACUCAUUUCACCCAACACAUUCACCUACUACUACAUCCACUCAUUUCACCCAACACAUUCACCUACCACUACAUCCGCUCAUUUCACCCAACACAUCCACUCAUUUCUACCACCCAACACAUUCACCUACCACUACAUCCACUCAUUUCACCCAACACAUCCACUCCUUUCAACCACCCAACACAUUCACCUACCUCUACAUCCACUCAUUACCACCACCUACUACAUCUUCUUCCUAGUCUAUAAAUACAUUCAUCCACCCUUCAUCAAAGGGAGAGAAAAAAUCCAUCCAAAGACACUACAUUCACAUCUCACAACUCCAUUCCUCCAUACAAACAAACCUUCAAACACUCACCAACACCUUGUGCCGUAGCAAAGGAAGGGAAGGAAAGUGCUUGGACGUGCUUGCUGUCCAACUUGGAUCGUUGGAGCGUUUAGGUGUUUUCUUUCUUUUGUUUCUAAUGUUUAAAUUCAUUUCAUUUUGUUUUCUUGUAAAUAUAUAAACCCCUCUUGGCUAGGGGUGAUUUCCAAGCCAUGAUUAUGUGUGCAAUAUAAUUUGAUAAAUUCCAAUUAUGAAAUCUUGAAUCGUGAAUGCAAUUGGCUUAACUAUUUGAUUGAUAACUUGUUUGUAUUUGUUAAUUAAGGGUCGACACUUAAUUGGCAUGCAUAAAUUCAUUGCUAGAAUAUAAGGAAGUUUCACAUAAUCGUUACAAACUUAUAUUCACAUGUAGUGAAGGUCACUUAUAAACGAUCGCGUUAAGUUCAAUUCCUAGCAUGAGUGACAUGAUGUCAUAGUUGCAAGUGCUUUGUC